UUUCCGUAGGUGAACCAGCGGAAGGAUCAUUAAAGAGAUCAUGCCCUCACGGGUAGACCUCCCACCCUUUGUUUACAAUACCUUUGUUGCUUUGGCGGGCCCGUUUGGCCCCGCGCUGAACAACCGGCCCCGGCUGGUCAGUGCCCGCCAGAGAACCAAAAACUCUGAAUUAAAUGUCGUCUGAGUACUAUGUAAUAGUUAAAACUUUCAACAACGGAUCUCUUGGUUCUG
rnacentral:misc_RNA from 1 species